UACGUAGGGUGCAAGCGUUGUCCGGAAUUAUUGGGCGUAAAGAGCUCGUAGGCGGCCAGUUGCGUCUGCUGUGAAAUCCCGGGGCUCAACCCCCGGGCUUGCAGUGGAUACGGGCUGGCUGGAGGCAGGCAGGGGAGAACGGAAUUCCCGGUGUAGCGGUGAAAUGCGCAGAUAUCGGGAGGAACACCGGUGGCGAAGGCGGUUCUCUGGGCCUGUACUGACGCUGAGGAGCGAAAGCGUGGGGAGCGAACAGG
rnacentral:rRNA from 1 species